GACGAACGCUGGCGGCGUGCUUAACACAUGCAAGUCGAACGAGUGGCGAACGGGUGAGUAAUACGUGGGUAACCUGCCCUCUUGUUGGGAUAAGCCAUGGAAACGGGGUCUAAUACCGAAUAAAGGGGGCUGGGCUCGCGGCGUAUCAGCGUGUUGGUGGGGUGAUGGCCUACCAAGGCGGUGACUGCUAGCCGGCCUGAGAGGUUGACCGGCCACACUGGAACUGAGACACGGUCCAGACUCCUACGGGAGGUAGCAGUGGGGAAUAUUGCACAAUGGGCGCAAGCCUGAUGAAGCCAUGCCGCGUGUAUGAAGAAGGCCUUCGGGUUGUAAAGUACUUUCAGCGAGGAGGCGUUACUCGCAGAAGAAGCACCGGCUAACUCCGUGCCAGCCGCCGCGGUAAUUC
rnacentral:rRNA from 1 species